rfam:Capsicum annuum cultivar Zunla-1 chromosome 1, whole genome shotgun sequence
UGAUGGUGAUGAGGAAAGUUUUUGAGCAUGCCUUUAAAUCUCUCCCACACUUGGUAAAUAUUUUCUCCAUCUUUUUGUAUGAAACUCAAGAUCUUUUCCUCAAACG